rnacentral:rRNA from 1 species
AUUGAACGCUGGCGGCAUGCUUUACACAUGCAAGUCGAACGGUAACAGGCCUUCGGGUGCUGACGAGUGGCGCACGGGUGAGUAAUGCAUCGGAACGUACCCAGAGGUGGGGGAUAACGCAGCGAAAGCUGUGCUAAUACCGCAUGUGAUCUGAGGAUGAAAGCGGGGGACCGAGCAGCAAUGUUUGGCCUCGCGCCUUUGGAGCGGCCGAUGUCGGAUUAGCUAGUUGGAGGGGUAAAGGCCUACCAAGGCGACGAUCCGUAGCUGGUCUGAGAGGACGACCAGCCACACUGGGACUGAGACACGGCCCAGACUCCUACGGGAGGCAGCAGUGGGGAAUUUUGGACAAAGGGCGCAAGCCUGAUCCAGCAAUGCCGCGUGCGGGAAGAAGGCCUUCGGGUUGUAAACCGCUUUUGGCAGGAACGAAACGGUGUCCGCUAAUACCGGGCGCUAAUGACGGUACCUGCAGAAUAAGCACCGGCUAACUACGUG